GGGGAAUAUUGCACAAUGGGCGAAAGCCUGAUGCAGCGACGCCGCGUGAGCGAAGAAGUAUUUCGGUAUGUAAAGCUCUAUCAGCAGGGAAGAUAAUGACGGUACCUGACUAAGAAGCACCGGCUAAAUACGUGCCAGCAGCCGCGGUAAUACGUAUGGUGCAAGCGUUAUCCGGAUUUACUGGGUGUAAAGGGAGCGCAGGCGGUGCGGCAAGUCUGAUGUGAAAGCCCGGGGCUCAACCCCGGUACUGCAUUGGAAACUGUCGUACUAGAGUGUCGGAGGGGUAAGCGGAAUUCCUAGUGUAGCGGUGAAAUGCGUAGAUAUUAGGAGGAACACCGGUGGCGAAGGCGGCUUACUGGACGAUUACUGACGCUGAAGCACGAAAGCGUGGGGAGCAAAUAGGAUUAGAUACCCUAGUAGUCCACGCCGUAAACGAUGAGAACUAGGUGUUGGGGGAAUAACUCAGUGCCGCAGUUAACGCAAUAAGUUCUCCGCCUGGGGAGUAUGCACGCAAGUGUGAAACUCAAAGGAAUUGACGGGGGCCCGCACAAGCAGUGGAGUAUGUGGUUUAAUUCGAAGCAACGCGAAGAACCUUACCUGCUCUUGACAUCCCGGUGACCGGCGUGUAAUGACGCCUUUUCUUCGGAACACCGGUGACAGGUGGUGCAUGGUUGUCGUCAGCUCGUGUCGUGAGAUGUUGGGUUAAGUCCCGCAACGAGCGCAACCCCUAUCCCCAGUAGCCAGCGGUCAGGCCGGGCACUCUGAGGAGACUGCCAGGGAUAACCUGGAGGAAGGCGGGGAUGACGUCAAAUCAUCAUGCCCCUUAUGAUUUGGGCUACACACGUGCUACAAUGGCGUAAACAAAGGGAAGCGAGCCUGCGAAGGUAAGCAAAUCCCAAAAAUAACGUCCCAGUUCGGACUGCAGUCUGCAACUCGACUGCACGAAGCUGGAAUCGCUAGUAAUCGCGGAUCAGAAUGCCGCGGUGAAUACGUUCCCG
rnacentral:rRNA from 1 species